rnacentral:sRNA from 1 species
CAGCAUAAGAAGUGAUUGAGCCACAAGUAUACUGAAGGAAGGGCUCCCUCGAGUUGUGGUGUGAAGAGAUAAAUCAAACAGUCACAGACUAUGCACCUGACUGCUGCUGUUCAGUCCGGGGAAAAUGAAAGUUGGAGUGCUGUGGCUCAUUUCUUUCUUCAUCUUCACUGAUGGCCACGGUGGCUUCCUGGGGGCCCAGUCGAAGAAUAUCAGCUGCUGCUUCAGGUGACCUAUAGAGAUUCCAAGGAGAAAAGAGAUUUGAGAAAUUUUCUGAAGCUCUUGAAGCCUCCAUUAUUAUGGUCACACGGGCUAAUUAAGAUUAUCAGAGCAAAGGCUACCACAUACUGCAACAGCCUGAAUGGGGUCCUGCAGUGUACCUGUGAAGACAGCUACACCUGGUUUCCUCCCUCAUGCCUGGAUCCCCAGAACUGCUACCUUCACACGGCUGGAGCACUACCAAGCUGUGAAUGUCAUCUCAACAACCUCAGCCAGAGUGUCAAUUUCUGUGAGAGAACAAAGAUUUGGGGCACUUUCAAAAUUAAUGAAAGGUUUACAAAUGACCUUUUGAAUUCAUCUUCUGCUAUAUACUCCAAAUAUGCAAAUGGAAUUGAAAUUCAACUUAAAAAAGCAUACGAAAGAAUUGAAGGUUUUGAGUCGGUUCAGGUCACCCAAUUUCGAGUGUCACUCUUGUCACCCAGGUUGGAGUGCAAUGGCACAAUCUAGGCUCACUGCAACCCUGCAACCUCUGCCUACCGGGUUCAAGAAAUUCUCCUGCCUCAGCCUCCCAAGUAGCUGGAAUUACAGGCACCUGCCACCACAUCCAGCUAACUUUUUUUGUAUUUUUAGUAGAGACAGGGUUUCACCAUGUUGGCCACACUGGUCUCGAACUCCUGACCUCAGGUGAUCAGCCUGCCUCGGCCCCCAGAGUGCUGGGAUUACAGGCAUGAGCCACCACAUCUGGCCUAGGACCUUAAAUAUUGGAAAGCAUUCUCAAAACUGUGGGUCAGUGAGUAGAACUACAAAACAAUAGCAGUAGGGCAGAAACUUGAAAGAAGGCAGGAGACCAUGGUAACAGUGCAUGGGAAAAAGUGAGGGUUGGGGGUAAGGGCUGCGGGUUGUCG